GACGUAGGGGGCGAGCGUUGUCCGGAAUUACUGGGCGUAAAGAGCACGUAGGCGGGUAAUUAAGUCAGAUGUGAAAGACCGGGGCCCAACCUCGGGGUUGCAUCUGAAACUGGUUAUCUUGAGGGCAGGAGAGGAAAGUGGAAUUCCUGGUGUAGCGGUGAAAUGCGUAGAAAUCAGGAGGAAUACCAGUGGCGAAGGCGGCUUUCUGGACUGACCCUGACGCUGAGGUGCGAAAGCGUGGGUAGCAAACAGGAUUAGAUACCCUGGUAGUCCACGCUGUAAACGAUGGAUACUAGGUGUGGGAGGUAUCGACCCCUUCCGUGCCGGAGCUAACGCAAUAAGUAUCCCGCCUGGGGAGUACGGUCGCAAGGCUGAA
rnacentral:rRNA from 1 species